rnacentral:SRP_RNA from 1 species
UAAACAUGCUAUCACAACGUUACCCACUGAACCAGGUCAGGGUCGGAAGACAGCAGCCUUAAAGUGGCUCUGACGUGUGUGAUAGCUUUUAUUUUA